UACGAAGGGUGCAAACGUUGCUCGGAAUCAUUGGGCGUAAAGCGCACGUAGGCGGCUCCAAAAGUCGGAUGUGAAAUCCCUGGGCUCAACCGAGGAAGUGCAUCCGAAACUGCGGAGCUUGAGUAUGGAAGAGGGUCGCGGAAUUCCCGGUGUAGAGGUGAAAUUCGUAGAUAUCGGGAGGAGCACCAGUGGCGAAGGUGGCGACCUGGGCCAAUACUGACGCUGAGGUGCGAAAGCGUGGGGAGCAAACAGG
rnacentral:rRNA from 1 species